GACGAACGCUGGCGGCGUGCUUAACACAUGCAAGUCGAACGGAAAGGCCCUGCUUUUGUGGGGUGCUCGAGUGGCGAACGGAUGAGUAACACGUGAGUAACCUGCCCUUGACUUUGGGAUAACUUCAGGAAACUGGGGCUAAUACCGGAUAGGAGCUCCUGCUGCAUGGUGGGGGUUGGAAAGUUUCGGCGGUUGGGGAUGGACUCGCGGCUUAUCAGCUUGUUGGUGGGGUAGUGGCUUCCACGGCUUUGACGGGUAGCCGGCCUGAGAGGGUGACCGGCCACAUUGGGACUGGGAUACGGCCCAGACUCCUACGGGAGGCAGCAGUGGGGAAUAUUGCACAAUAGGCGGAAGCCUGAUGCAGCAACGCCGCGUGCGGGAUGACGGCCUUCGGGUUGUAAACCGCUUUCGCCUGUGACGAAGCGUGAGUGACGGUAAUGGGUAAAGAAGCACCGGCUAACUACGUG
rnacentral:rRNA from 1 species